UACGUAGGGCGCGAGCGUUGUCCGGAAUUAUUGGGCGUAAAGAGCUCGUAGGCGGUCUGUCGCGUCGGCUGUGAAAACUCGGGGCUCAACCCCGAGCCUGCAGUCGAUACGGGCAGACUAGAGUGCGGUAGGGGAGACUGGAAUUCCUGGUGUAGCGGUGAAAUGCGCAGAUAUCAGGAGGAACACCGGUGGCGAAGGCGGGUCUCUGGGCCGUAACUGACGCUGAGGAGCGAAAGCGUGGGGAGCAAACAGG
rnacentral:rRNA from 1 species